AUGUAAGGCAAUCUGUCUUUAACCACGGAUAAAUUACUCUUAAUAAAAAAGAAAAAGGAAUCCUAGGUUGUUUUCCUUUCAAGUCAAGCAUCUUGU
rnacentral:pre_miRNA from 1 species